CUCAGAUCAGAAGGUGAUUGUGGCUUUGGGUGGAUAUUAAUCAGCCACAGCACUGCCUGGUCAGAAAGAG
ensembl:miRNA microRNA 383